rfam:Bombyx mori DNA, contig: Bm_scaf403_contig42992, strain: p50T/Dazao, build 2, whole genome shotgun sequence.
UUAGCUCAUAUUCGUAUGGAAUAGGAUCGUUUGCCUACGUUUGCCGCUAGGGGCGCUGUUCCAACUGCAUACAAAUUUGAGUUA